GACGAACCGGACGAACGUUAUUCGGAAUCAUUGGGCUUAAAGUGUGCGUCGGUGGCCUUGUAGGUGAGGUGUGAAAUCCCACGGCUCAACCGUGGAACUGCGCUUCAAACCACAAGGCUUGAGUGAGGCAGAGGUAAGCGGAACUGAUGGUGGAGCGGUGAAAUGCGUUGAUAUCAUCAGGAACACCGGUGGCGAAGGCGGCUUACUGGGCCUUGUCUGACGCUGAGGCACGAAAGCUAGGGGAGCAAACGGG
rnacentral:rRNA from 1 species